GGGCGUAAAGUGUGCGUAGGCGGGCGUAUAAGUCAGUGGUGAAAUCCUGGAGCUUAACUCCAGAACUGCCAUUGAUACUAUAUGUCUUGAAUAUGGUGGAGGUAAGCGGAAUAUGUCAUGUAGCGGUGAAAUGCAUAGAUAUGACAUAGAACACCUAUUGCGAAGGCAGCUUACUACGCCUAUAUUGACGCUGAGGCACGAAAGCGUGGGGAUCAAACAGGAUUAGAUACCCUGGUAGUCCACGCCCUAAACGAUGAUUACUCGACGUGUGCGAUAAAACGGUAACGCGUCUGAGCGAAAAGCAUUAAGUAAAUCCACCUGGGAAGUACGACCGCAAAGGUUGAAAACU
rnacentral:rRNA from 1 species